rnacentral:lncRNA from 1 species
UUUCCUGCUUUGUCUAUUUUACAGCGCAUGAUGAGCCAGAUUGCGGUGUAUAAGUUUGGUGAAGAGUUUGACUCAGUCCCUGUCACCUUUCAUCACCACAAACACCUGCAAAGUCCUUUAAAUACCUGUUGUGGAUCUAAACCCCUCAUUCACUUUCCCUCCACAGCUUUUCCUUCUACUGACACUAGAUAAGUGCAUGUUUGUGAGCAGCAUGCACUCAUGCAAUCGUGCAUACAAACACACAAAGACCCCCCUGCACACAUACACACACUGUUCCCUCCUGUAGGUAAAGCUUCAUAUGAAUAUUGUGUUUAUGGCCGGCAGGGUGGAAAGCGAGCUUUUCCCUUUGGGAGCUCUGCCAGUUUUCUUUUCAUUACUCUACCUGGGGGCUGAACCCCCACUAUCACAAUAAGCUUUAUUUCUAUCGACAUAUCCAGACGGAAGCGGCAUUCCAGGGAAUUAGGCUCAAUUUCACCUGGCCCCCAGUGUUUUUAGGGAAUACCAUGCUCCCACAACUGCCCCUCCUCCUGCCUCCAUUUAUUUUCUAAAAGCAACAAGCUGCAAACUUCACAUUUUAUCUCACAGAGUUCUUUCCUUAAACUGAAAAAAUUAGUUCCAUGUGUUCGCUUUUCAGACAAGCUUCAUAGGGGUGGUUAUUUUUCAGUCAACUAAACACUUAAGUUACACUCUUUUUGAUUUCCAUCUGAACUUGUCAAAAGGAACAUGUCAAAGGCUGCUUUAUCAGAUAAUCAGCAACACCUGCUUGGAUAUAUGGAUCAGGUGCUGUGGUAUAGCACAGCAAGGACUCCCACAUGGUGCAGGGAACUGGAAAUAUUCUAGCUACAACAGUUAGCUAACUUACAGGAGUACUUAAGCCUUGUAUCUCUUCAAAAAACACUGGCAUAUUAAUCGAUCAUUAUAGUAUACACUUACAAAUGUCACAAAAAACACUUAAAUGAUUAUCAACCCCCAUAAGCCACAAAUGCCCUCUUUUUUGUCACUUUGGUUUACAUUCAAUGUGAAAUUAUGGUACAGUGACCAUAUUCUGAAUCCCCAAAAAGAGGACACUACUCUGCAGGGCGGAGUCGUGUGCGUGCACAAAUUUUUGAGGUUUUUUUCGGGUCAGGUCAUGUUUUUUUCACACCCUUCUAACUCAGCUAAACAAAUAUUCUGAAUUCCCCAAAAAUAAAAAAAAAUAAAAAAAAAUAAAACAUUUUAUCCCACCUUGUUUUUUUUUACUGGGGGAAACAGGCUUCCAUACAAAACCCCAGACAUCUAAGGAUUUUAUAAACUCCCCUCCACGGACAUGUCGAACAGCCCCUCAAAAGAGGACAUGUCUGGGUAAAAGAGGAUGUAUGGUCACCCUUAAUUAUGGUAAAGGCUACAGCCAACCACAGCUUUACUUUUCAUUAUCUUAAAACAACCAACACCGAGCAGAUGUUUCCAAGGGGAACUCAAUCUGCCCUGGUGUGAUGUAAAUAUUUUGUAGCAGCCACCAGCAUGCGCACCAGCAGGCCACACUUCAAGUUGAAGUUCCUGAAUGAACGACUCAAGACAAUAACAGUACAAUUGGGACAUACUGUAUCACAAAAAAAUCCUUCUGGUAUUGCAACCAGGUGUCUCAACUCUACAGAUGAAGAACCCAACUUUCCAGGUGGUGUUUGCACUGUAUUUCCCUUUUAGUGUGACUUUUGCACAUUGCGAAAAGUACAGAACAUGAGGUAUCAAUGUGUCUCUAAAUGGGUCAUGCACAGAGCACACAUAUUUAACAUGGACUCAUCACACACAAGCACUUAAAUAUGAAAGCCUGUCUGUUUUUCAUCCCUCUCUUUCACUGUAAUUUAUUCAUUCCUGCCCCAAGAAACUUAAGUCUUAAAUGAAACAGGUCUUUUACCCAAUUGGAUCAAACUGGGAAAAUAAACCACAUUUAAUAUUAAUUUGAAAGGCAAAGUUACAUUUUUCUCCAUUAUUAUCAGGUGACUGUGUUGUUUUAUGGUGGUUGCUUUGUAAUUCUAGUCGUGACCAUGUCAGCAUGUCUGGUAUGAGAGGUUGUAGAUGUAACACUACCAUUAGUGGAAAAGGUUAAACCACUGGCUGUGGAAAAUGUGUCUGCAGCUUCUGGGUCAAACCACAAGCAUCAAGUCCUUUUCCUUACGGCUAAUCCUGAAAAAUACAUCCAAGUUGAACUUUCAGUGUCUAUGUAACCCGUCAUGAUAUUAUCUCAUUUUUCAUUGUUAAGAUGUUUCAUCAGAGACGGUUGAUGAAAACUUGUGAAGAUUUUUUUUUCUGCCAACAAGAGUGUCCCGGUCUCUGCCUAUUACUGUUUUCACAUUCAUGCUUUGAGGUCAGUAAGUUUGGUUUGGGGGUUGACCUUGGGUGGUAGUGCUUGUAUACAGAGCACCCCACCUGUAAUUAUCUGGGGAUUACCUCUUUAUAUGAGCAAGCUUUACAACGUCCAAAGGGACUUCCUGCUUCCCCCUCAAAAUCUUGCAAUAAAAAGGCACCACUGUAGCAUCACAACGGGGCACCAGCCAAUCAAUAUCCUCCCGUAGAAUCCAAUGUUCACCAAGUGGGAUAGCCUUUCAUUUCAUAUGGACUAGGAGCAUAUAUCUGAAUCCCCGAGAAAGAAAAAAAGAGUAAUGAGCAGUGUAAAAUGAAUUUUGAAUAUUUAAAGUACCUGCUCUAAUUUGAUAUGCUCACUUAAAACCAAACACAGAAUAACUUUUGCUUUUAGUGACACGAGUCCAAUCACUGAAUGCCUGAGGGAUGCUUUCCAGCUCAUACCUUAUAGAUGAAGCCCCCCCAAUCCCACCAUUUGUUGAUGGGAAUGAGGAAAAGGAAAGAACUGUAAAAUCAGGCAGGAAUUCUGUUUAUGGGGCGCCAGAACACAGCUGCUUGUUUGAGCUGGCAAGGGAAGUUGGUGUCACAGGCAAAGCUGCGAUUUGCUGAACCCAAAGUAGGAAUUGCCAGAUGGUAAGGUGUCUUAAGCACAUACUGUAUGAAUAUAAACUGACAUAUUAAUAAAAGAGUCCAGCUCAAUACAGGUGCAUCAACUUUCUAAGUAUUACAGAGAAACACACACAGAUACACACCUCUGUAUUGUACCAGCCAUGUUUAUUGCUUCUGGACCGUGCCUUUAAAGCCUGUAGCACUGCUGUCGCACGCAAUGUGCCGACUGAAAGCUCCCAAAGUCACAGAGAGAAGAGGACAGCCAAAGUAGGAGGGAGCGACAGCGGGAGCAUGCAAAGGAUUUAGACAUGGCAUGAAAAAAGUCCAUUAAGUGACUCGUCUAGCUUUGCCAAACACGGUCACACCCAACUCAAAGGAUCAACUAAGUUUAACCACCUUUCCGCUGCCAACAAUGAAAAAAAUGAAUUCAAAGGUUUAGAAUUGAAAUCUUCAUUGAAGAGAACAACUGGAGACAAUUUAAAAGAACAUUUUGUCGAAACUAUGUACUGCUUUGGUCAAAGCUCACAGCUUGUAGUUCAGAACAUGAAGUACUAAAACAAAGCCAAUCUGAGCAGGUGGCUUAAAGAGAGAAAAAGUAAUGAAACAAACAUCCAGACAAGCCUAACAAACCCCAGACUAUACUAAAUGUUGUUUGCCUCGAUCUAGGUUAUUUUUGGAGGGUUUUCCUGGCCCAUAUAAGCAGGCUCAGUUGAGAGUAUGUAAAGCACAGAAACGGGUCUAGUUGAGUGUACUUAUUGAGGUGCAACCCCUUGUCUCUAAGUCCCUUUACUGUCUGAAAGCCAUUAUUCUGUUAUUAUAUGUCACCUCUGACAGGUUAGAGGACUUCAACUGCAUGGGCAAACUAAGUGGAGAACCAUUACGUAGGGUGACCAUACGUCCUCUUUUACCCCAACAUGUCCUCUUUUUGGGGGGCUCUCUGGGCUGUCCGGCUUUGUUCGGGGAAGUUUAUGAAAUACUUCAACUGUCUGGAGUUUUGUAUGGAAGUUUCGAGUUUGUGUCACAUGGACUUACUGAGUAAAGUGCAUAGAAGACACUUGAUCUGACCCCAAAAACUCUCAAAAUUAACUUUGUGUGACUCUGCGACUCCGCCCCCGCGUAGCCGUUUCCUCUUUUUGGGAAGUCAGAAUAUGGUCCCCCUACCACUAAGCAUUAGUCUCAAUGUGAUAGUCACUGGGAGGCAAUCUGGCUAAUUUAAGAAUUGUGCAUCAAUCCCUCCUUCAUCUGCUCAGUCUCGAGGUCCAUUUCACAAAGCAUAUUGCAUACUGAUGAUACUUAAGCAUAAACACACCAUUCAAGUUUUGCAGCUCUGUGCAGUUUGCUCCUGUUUUGCAUCUGAUUGUUUGGCCAAGUCCAUGAGGUAGGGGGCCUGGGUUCAAUUUUACCUUGUGACCCUUCACUAUGUCAUUCCCCACCCUUUCUCCAAGUUUCCGUCUUUGUCCACUGUUCGCUCUUUCAAAAUACUAAAAGAUGUCAGACAUUUUUGUAGUUCUUUUUAUUUUUGCUACUUGAAAAAGGUGAGGGAGUCAUUGAGGAUUCCCGCAAAUGAGACAACAGAGAAAGAGCUGCAAAAAAAACCCAAAGCUGAGCAGAAGCAGAGGCAGCUUGAUGAGACUGUUGGAAUAAAAUAUACUGGACUUUGAAGAGGCACUCUAGAAAAGUUGAAUAAAUGUAAAAACACCACAUUAACUGAAAAUAGAAACUUGUCUCUCACUCAUGAAGCACUUUCUGUCACUGUUCUCCCAAAUCUUUGCUUCACUCAAAAAGCAAAAGAAGUUAAUUUAUGUCUGAGAUGUGUUCACGGUCUAUAAAUACAACAUAUGACACAAAUUUGUUCUGCAGUGAUCAAACAAAGUGAUGAGUGGAGCAUUGUGGCUUUUUCAAAUUAUAAAUCAUAGAGAAAUAUUACGCUCACCUGUACAGGGCCCCGUAUCCUUAUUCUGUCUUUGGCACUUGGCAAGAUGCGUUCCCCCCCAAUAAUUACCACCAGAUGCAAAGCAGGGGGUCAAGAGGGGUCCCUACCUCUUAUGAAAGGGUUUAUUAAAAAUAAUGCAGGGUAAGGGGCAGAAUCAUACCUCAUCAUUCUUAUUUUUUCUUUGGCAGCACAUGCAGUCGUAGCAGGUGCUGACAUUCCUCCCCUCUAUUCCAGCCCUCUUCCACUUUUUUCUCGGACUAUUCUCGCAUUCGAACCCCUUUCUUCUCUUUUUAUUGUUCUCUUUUUAAUUUGCAGAUAUAAAAAUUGGCAAAUGCUGUCCUUUGAUGGGGAGAGACAUUCCUGGCGUCUCUCAGAUGUCUGUGCUGCUUUGCGGUAACCCAACUCCGGUUGAAAGCAUUUUCCUGGGAAAAAGAGGCGGCCCACAAUCGACGGGGCACAGGGACACCUGCAGCUCUGGCCCAGCGGUAACUACAGAUCAGCUCUGGACAUGACUCAACACCAACCUGAACACGCACACACACACUAGCAUUCACACACUCAAAAAAAGGACUUCAGACCUCUCCUUCGAUCCACACACUCACAGUGGACUCCACUCUGUGACUUCCCCCACCUUUCCAGCUGCGUCUCAGGUUCAUUCAGUGAUGUCCAGACUGAUGAGAGUAAAAACAGCCAAAAAUGAGGACAGCUGCUUCCAUAAACCCUGUCAUCAAUUUGUCCAAGUCAUUAAAAUUGGCUGUAAUUGGCCUAAUUGUGGUCAAUCAUGCUUUCCAAUGAUGCAGAAAAGUAUAGGGUAUCUCUUUACCAGGAGAGUGGAUGAUUAAGUUGUAGCAGGCCGCUCUGUUUCGGAACAAUGAUUGCUAAGUAUGAUCUUUGUCUGAUCCUCACCACAAAUGACCUGUUUGAUCAAACAGAGAAUAAAUGAUGCAGAGAGGGAAAACAGGUUGAAACAGUAUGAGGAUGCCCGUCUGAAUGUCGACUGCAACUUUUGCAAUUCCUCCUGAGCAAUGUCCUAUUUUAUUAAAAAAGACCAUCAUCAUAGUGCUGGGCUCAGUUUUAAGUCAAUAGAUCAUUUGAUCAGUCACAGCACCUCAUGACAGGAGCAGGAUUAUAUUCUUAGACCUGCUUGGUGGUGAGGGUCUGCUGAGACAAAACAGUUUCAGGUACUGUGAAACUCAAUUCCUCCAGCGGGGCCAUCAACUGUCACUCUAGGCGGAGAGAUGAUUGACUCCCAGAAUACCUCUUUCUUCAAACAUUGUAUUUCUUAUGCACACAAACAUGGACACAUCAACGCGUGAAGAGAAUGUGACGGGCAGCCGUGAGUGACAGCCAAGCAUGCCUGAAAGCUUGAAGGUUGGGUGAGGAGGGGGACGGGCAGAGGGUGUGAGUUUCCAAGGAGGUGUGCUGGGGCAGCUCAGGUCGACUGGGACACAUGGCUGCACUGGGAGGAAUUUGUAUUAAAUUCAACCCUCCCCUUCACAAAUUGUUUCCAGCCUGCAGCCAUCAAAACGCUGUCAGAUCACUGACUCUCUCUUCCCUUUUCUCUGGCUCGUCUCCCCCUCUUAUUCCCCCAUCACCCACACACACACAACCCCCUAUACCCACUCCACUUUGGGUCUUCACUUACACAAACAUCAGAGGUAGAAAGAGGUGCAUGGGCAGUCAUGCGGUGUGACGAUGUAGUGUGUGUAUGCCUAUAUUGUACGUGUGUGUGUGUGUGUGUGUGUGUGUGUGUGUGUGUGUGUGUGUGUGUGUGUGUGUGUGUGUGUGUGUGUGUGUGCAGCUUUGCUCUUGAGCCAUCAGGAAAGGUCUAACCCCUAAAAUGUAGUGCUUAGAAUAAUUUAGGUGCAACCGACAGUAUGUCUCGUGAUUUCAUGCAUGCUUGGCAGCGGUGAUCAAUCUCUUUGAAGUGGUUGCCUGUCUCAUUUGUCAACCAAAUAAAUGGUCAAUUUCACUGAGUUGUUUGACAUCAGCUUAACUGAUUGUGGAAAAUAAGUUUUCAUGCCAUGUUGAGUGCCUUCAUUUCUCUUCUGGAGAGUUAACUGUCCUUCCGGGUUGAACUGUACAAACUGAAGUUUUCAUACCAAAGGCUCACACCAAUCACUCGUAAUACAAUGAUCACCUAUCUGAUAUUGUGAAAGUCCUCUUCAUGCCAAGCCAGAACCAAAACAGUCCUGACCUUACAAGAGGUCAGAAGAGACAUGGACUCAACUAGAUCUCUGAACGAGUUCUGUGGUAACUAGGACCAGGACUGAAGAAGCAGGUCCUUUCAGUCCUGUUAGUUGCAAAGUGAGGCUUCCAUGGGUUGGAUUUAUUUGUCCAACAUGUCCCACAGAUUGGAUGGAAAUCUGGGGAAUUUAGAGGUCAUGUCAACCCUAGCCACCUAAAUGGCUGAAUGUCAUCACCCUCAUUUAACAGCACUUUAUACCAGUUAUGCAAGUUAUAAAUAUCUUUGUGAUCAAAGGCCUGAAAUGUCAGUCAAAGAUAGAGUCUUAGCUUUAGCCUAGACAGACACACUCCAGGGCUAGAUGUUCAGUUAAUAGUGACUUUGAGUCUAAUCCAGUAGCUCUUUCCACCCCUAGGCAAACCUUUGCUCCCUAUGCACAUCAAUAAGCCUUUGUCAUUGAUCGCCUUGUUGCUAAUCCACCAGUUCUUCUUCUUUGGACCACUUUUAGUAUUGACCAUCUGGGAACAUCCUGCAAGAGCUGCAGGUUUGGAGAUGCUGAACCCAGCCCCCUCCAUCCUUACUCUUGCUCCCUUUUCCUGCUUCCACCUAGGGGUGUCCUGAUACGAUAAUGAUAUUGGAUAUCGGUGCGAUAUCAGCAAAAAAAUCGAAAAUCAGAUUAUAUCGGCUUCCAUCUAAAAUCACCGAUGUCAGCACUUCAAUACAGGCAGUUCCAUUCCAGAUUCCACUCCGGCACCUCUAUCUAACAGCACCCGGAUCCAGCAUGUAGAGCCCAUGGGAUCACAACAAAAGUGUGUACCAAAGUACCAAGGAGUAGUAAUGAAUUUGGCUGUGUGGCAGUAUUUUUCAUCAAAGUCUGAAAAAGACGUUGCAGCUGAGUGCAAAACUUGUUUUUUGUGCUAAUAUCAGAUCAAUAUCGGUAUCGGUUGAAGGCUACAAUAUCGGUAUAGUAUCAGAGGUAAAAAAUCUGUAUUGGGACACCCCUACUUCCAUCACUUCAACACAUCUAACCCACUGGCAGGUACCAUAGUAAAGAGCAUGUUAUUCACAUCACCUGUCAAUGGCCAUAAUGUUGUGGCGGAUUAGUGUAAAGCACAUUUAGGAAAGCUCAAAAAAAGUUUUUAACAUCUGCCGUCUACUAACAACAUUGGUGAAAUUGGUGGUUAACCCACAAAAGUUUAGACCUUAAAAUCAAAACAUCCAGCUGAAAGUGGUCAACAUAGACGAUUUAUUCUCGAACACAGCUGACCCACAUAUCACAUGAUUAUCACAUUUAUCGACACCAUACUUAACGUAUCUAAUGUCUGUCUGCAGGAAGCAAAUCUGAGGAAGUUUCCCCCAUGGUUCUGGUCUAGGUUAUGGUCCUGGGUCUCAGCUGUGAGCAGUUUGAUGGUUGGUUGAGUUCAGACAGCAAAAACAACCUCUCCGUUGCUUCUCAGGGGCCAAAGGUACAAGGCUGCAACAGUCAAUGGAAGGAGAGAGAGUGAGAGUGCUCCCAUUCACCGAUCUGGGAUGUGGAGAUACUGUGAGAGGUUAUUCAGGGCGAUGGGCCACGCCUGACUGGGGGGCCCCGUCAAGAAGGUGGAGGUCAAUUAGAAGCAAAUGUCCUCCAUCAUGAUCGGUCCAUUGUAGUACGACACUCAUGUUUUGUUAUGAGCAAGAGGACUUGAUCUGACCCUGGCUGUAUCACUCUCACUUUAUAUCACUCUCAAUAACCAUCAUCCUGGUAAAAGAGGCCAUAAAAUUGUGAAAAGCACCUAUUGUCUCAUUGCCCUCGCAGAGUUGCCAUAGACACGGUAAUGCAAUAUCAUUGUUGAUUCUGGGAUACAGAGUUUAAAUCAACCUCUGACCUGUAGAUACUUUUGCUUUCCAAUAGCGUGAGGAUGGUGUGGGACUACCUUUUCCGGCUGUCAAAACUGAAACCACCUUCAAAUAUGGACAGAUAUUUUCUUUUCCCUGAGACGUGGAAACAUCCAGUAAACUGCAGUCUAAGACUCCAAGCAGUGGAUGAAGUAAGUUUUAAGAGGUGGGCCGGUCAAUAAAGACAAUUUCUUUUCAGCCACCUCUUCUUUUAUCACGCUAAAGCUCUCAGCACCAAGACUGCGUCUCCUUCACACUCGGACACAACAAUGCUAAAAAAAAAAAAAAAAUUUUGGAAAGGCAGUUACUUAUCCACUGGCCCACACACACCCACGCACAUAGAGGAAAAGAUCUGGUUCAGAUCUGAACUUUUUAAUUCUCUGGAGAGUUAUAAAAACAUCCAGUUUGUUUCCUCUACCCCUCGUGGUUUCAGAUGCAGCACUAACCAUCAAUGCAUCUCUGAGGAAAGGAGAUGGUUUUGGCAUGGCUCUCUCUAAAGGGUCUAUUAUGAGAGGUACAUCCUGCGGUGACACAGUUGUGGUGCCCCCAUAGGAAAAAACUUCAAGGUUCUCAGAGUAAAAUGGAUGACAGGUACAAAGAUAGCUGAUGUGUUCAGGAGACAUAAAGAGGGAAAAGUGGAAUACAAGACCUCAUCAAAAAGGUGAGACGAUGUAGAAAAGAUGUUGGCAAGGGAUAUAAGAAAUACAAAAAGAAAAUAAAAAUACACUGUGAAGGAAAGAAAGAAAGACAGCUGUCAAAGAAGCAGGAAUGGGAGCUGAUGGGAUGGAUGAAGAGACACAAGAGAGGAUUUCAGGGGAGAAAGAGAUGCAGAUCCUGUGAAAGAGUCUGUCCGCAUACAGUGGAUUAAAACCACAUGUGUCUGCCUGAGGUGAGGACACCGCAACGCUGCGCACAUAUGUGAGGAAGAAUGGCGUCACUUGCACUCACCAGGGGCACCGCACGCUCGUUUUCCAGAAUGCGCUUCUCCUGCCAACUUUCUCCUGCCUGCAAAAACUUUUAACGUGUCAUCUCUACUGCGUCUUUCAUCUCUUUCCUUCUGCUAAACAAAUAAAUAAGUGCACUUUUCGUCCUCAUACACGGACGGAUUACGGGAGAAUACUUUGGCAAGCGUUGCCAUGACAAGAAGCUCCUUUAAGAAACAUAUGCAGUCGGAGAAGUCAUGGGAAGAGGGCAAAGAUGGAAACUGUUGUUGGACUCCUCUAAUACCCGAUACACAAAGAAGACAUCAUUCCUUCAAAUCAUAAUAACACUGUAUUUUUUCUAGAUUUGAAAGAAAUUAUUUUGUUUUUAACAAAUUUAUUUAAAUCAAUCUGCAGAAGAAAUUGCUCGAUUUUUGUCUCAAGUUGUUCCAGUAAAAAAAAGCAUUUUGCAUGAAUUAUAUCCAGCUACCAAAUGCAGAUAAAUUUCAUAAUCACACUUUUAAUGCAUACUCUUCAGAGAAAAGGUAUUUAGGACAAAUGGAAGGGAUACAGAAAGACAAGAGGAGCGGGGUAGUUGGGGCGGGAAAAGGGGCGAGACGGCCAUGAUAUGGGAAAGUGUUUUGGGGAAACCAAAUUAAGGGGAAGAAAGGCCGGACACAAAGGCCUUUGAAAGCGGCAGACAGUUCCCUUGACAUGUGCCUUAAAAGAGAUGCUGCCGCCGAUGCCAAGAAAAGGGGGGAAAGGACAGAGGGGAGAGAGAGAGAGAGAGAGAAUGACGACAGACUGAGAGAGGAAAGGAAGGAGAGAUCAAGGGGGAGAUUGAGUAAAAAUACAAGGGUAAUGGGAAGUGAGGGCAGGAAACGCAGGACAAAGCUCAGAGAGGGAAGUAAAGAGAAGCAAGUUCAUGAGAGGUGUGAUGAGAGAGAAUGAAGACAUCAGUUCAGGUCUGUGAUGUGUGGUGUGUGCAGGCAUGUACGCGUGUAUGUGCAACUGUUCUUAUGAAAGUGUGUGCAGGUUGGGGGUUGGGGGGAUUUGAAGAAGGAAAAAGCUAGAAUUUAAAUGACUCUUAAAUGGCUCGUAACCUCAAAUCGAUUCCCCGAGGUCUCACUACUUUUUUCAGUGAAUGGAAAUCACUGCUCACCCUCUGCAUAUGUUUUAUAUUAAUGUCAACAUACACUGAUGAGACUGUUCAGGGGAUAACACUGAAGUGGUCUUACCAGUCUCUGCAAAGUUUUAUUAGUGGGUUUUUUCCCCAAUAAAUUUAUCACCAAUAGUGAUGCACUGAUGAGCAAAUCUGGGCUAAUAUCAAUCCCAAUAUUCAGCUGAUAUCUGAUCAACACUUUUUUCUUUUAUUGUUGUCCACUCACAUUCUUUUUACCAAUCCAGACAAAGACCUGAAUAAGUCUCUAUUAUAAAACACACAUGAACAUGCCCAGUAAGUCUGACUUUCAUUACACUAUUUUUUAGUGAGCACAAACGUAAAAGUGCAAAUGUACAAAUCCUCAGAUUUUACCGUCUACCAUAAAGGCCUCUUGAAAAGCUUUUGGAAGCUUAUCUUUGAAGUUCUUUUCCUGCUUCCUUAUUUUAUUGUGGCAGAUUUGUUGGACUGGGGCUUUCCGAUGCAUAAAAAUCAAAUCAAAGUCAAACUUGAAAAAACCCCAAAAUCAAACAGGAGUGCUUCAAAAGCCUUUUCAUAGAAAAUCACUUACUCAAUAAGGAGCAAUUUUAAGUUCUUAAACAGCCCAGCUAAUCCUUUUCCGACAACAUAAAGUCAAAUUCAAAAUGAACUGAAUGCAACUGUGAGUGAGAAAGUAGUAAAAAAUGAGCUCAAUCAUAAAUAAUAAACAUUCAGAUGAAUAAAUAAGGAUUUGGUUCAUUCCUCACCAGAAUUACUAGUAGGUAUCUAAUCAAAUUAAUAAGAUCUUUAUAACUGCAGGUCCAAAUUGCUGUUGGAGGUAGCUGUAGCACAACUACCUGAGACUAGCAGAGCCAUAAUGUUCACACAGUCUACUACCUGAAUGGGAAACUAGCACCGUUGAUAGUUGGCAUCUCAUAAAACAACCAAAGUCGAAAUUAUUUACAGAUACUUUCAGUUGUCAGUACUACUAACCAUUUAGUGAUAUUUUAUCUCCAUUAAAAGGAUGAUGACACUUGAACUUAUUCCAAAUGUGUUUGGGUUUACUUUUUUUUUCUUUUUGUUACAUAAUUACAUAAGUGACAGUAAUGUCUGAAUCUGAUUGAAAUCCUUAAAUCCAUAAAACUAACAAACAGCACUCACUUUUUGUGGCACUGUCUGCUGCUGAUGUCAACAGUAAAAUAGCAUCACGCUUUUUCUCAUGCAGAUGCAGCCUCUUUGAUGCUGGUCAGCCCAUCUCUUUUCUGUCUCUCCCUCUCUCUACUUCUACUAUUGUAUGCCCCUCAGAAAUCACAUUGGACCCUCUUGCUCUCCCCCUCUUCCUUCUACACACACACACACACAAUCCCUUUCUUGAGGCUGUGUCUGACUCCAGCAUGAAAUCAAUUUCGGACACCCUCCCACCACCUUUCUCCAGCGCCCAUUUUCCUUCACCGUGAAGCGAGACUGUUUUCUGUGCCAGCUUGGAAAUAAGUACACCCAUCCUCCCCAACGAAGUGCCUCCAUCCCUGUUCCUGUCCCAGAAUCCCCCAGUGCUGUGCCUGCUGCUGUAACCAGUGUUUCUCAGUUCCUAACCCCUCAUCUGUGCCAUAUAUCCAAAAUUGUGGUCCAAUGCAGCAUUUAUUUGACAGCAUCUUUUGAUUAUGAAAAAAGUGAACGCUCAGAGAGGGAGACCACACACUGUGGGACAGUUAAGCUGUGUUUCUUUUCUACCCUGUGCAUGCUGUUUUACUGGGUAGCACCUGUAUAAAUUCAAAGAUGUACUUGGCUAUAUCAUAAAAAGCUUGCCUUUGAUCAUCAAAAUUCACUAGCAAGGCUAAAUAGGAGCCCAUUAAAGCUUCACAUUAAAAAAAUGAAGCUUAACAACAGUUUGGCAACCUGAAAGCAACAUGAAAAGGUUUAAAAUCCCAAAAUUGGUAUGAAGUGACAAACAGUGAGUCAGUUGACAGAGGGGUGGACAUGCAGAGGUGAGGCGGCACUGCUUUUAUCGUUGUUAUUCCCCUGCCGGCGCACACCGCUCCUUCCUAAUCCACACUGACAGAGUUUUCAUCAUCUGAGGAGCUGGGGACGACGGAGGACUUGAGGGAAUCUGGUGAGGUGGGGGACUUCC